rnacentral:rRNA from 1 species
AGUGCAGGGUUCCUAGAUGCAUAAGAACGGCUCCGGAUGGUCAACUGCUUUGGUGGGGAGCGACCCGGCGAACUCUAAUACAGUUUGCUAAUGACGGUACCGUAAGAAUAAGCACCGGCUAACUACGUGCCAGCAGCCGCGGUAAUACGUAGGGUGCAAGCGUUAAUCGGAAUUACUGGGCGUAAAGCGUGCGCAGGCGGUUUUGUAAGACAGUCGUGAAAUCCCCGGGCUCAACCUGGGAAUUGCGAUUGUGACUGCAAAGCUGGAGUGCGGCAGAGGGGGAUGGAAUUCCGCGUGUAGCAGUGAAAUGCGUAGAUAUGCGGAGGAACACCGAUGGCGAAGGCAAUCCCCUGGGCCUGCACUGACGCUCAUGCACGAAAGCGUGGGGAGCAAACAGGAUUAGAUACCCUGGUAGUCCACGCCCUAAACGAUGUCAACUGGUUGUUGGGUCUCUUCUGACUCAGUAACGAAGCUAACGCGUGAAGUUGACCGCCUGGGGAGUACGGCCGCAAGGUUGAAACUCAAA